rnacentral:rRNA from 1 species
ACGAGCGCUGGCGGCGUGCUUAACACCUGCAAGUCGAACGAUGAAGAAGAGAAACGCGAACUUCGGUUCAAAUUUCACUUCGGAUUAGUGGCAGACGGGUGAGUAACGCGUGAGCAACCUACCUCUUACAAAGGGAUAGCCUCGGGAAACCGUGAUAAUACCAUAUGACACAUUCAUAAGGCAUCUUAAGAAUGUUAAAGCUACGGCGGUAAGAGAUGGGCUCGCGUCCCAUUAGCUAGUUGGUGAGGUAACGGCCCACCAAGGCGACGAUGGGUAACCGGCCUGAGAGGGUGAACGGUCACAUUGGAACUGAGACACGGUCCAAACUCCUACGGGAGGCAGCAGUGGGGAAUAUUGCACAAUGGAGGGAACUCUGAUGCAGCGACGCCGCGUGAGCGAUGAAGGAAUUCGUUUCGUAAAGCUCUGUUCUAUGGGAAGAAAAGGACUGUACCAUAGGAGAAAGCCCCGGCUAAAUACGUG